rnacentral:lncRNA from 1 species
UACUGUUGUAUAAUUUUUGAAGUUGGUGAAGUUCAGUCUACAGUUUUUAUUUUUAGUCACCUCACUGUAGGCAACUCUUUGGUCAUUUUCUCUGAAAAAAUUUUGGAGAUGAGGUUACGAUGGCUUUCAGAUUAAAACAUUUCCUAUUAUUUUGCAUGCAAACUUGUUUACUGUGUUCAAACAGUGGCCAGUCUUGAGAACAAACAACACCUGCCCUUUUAAUGUCUUUCAUACCAUUGCAAUUAGCCCCAGAAACUCCUGCUGUCCCAAGCUUAAAAUAAAAACCCUAAUGUACAUUGGCUCCUCCUAUGCACAGUACUGCAUUCAGAACAUGCUGUUAAAUGUCAGAGCUCCUAUGGUUAUGACUGAAAAAUUAAAUGACAAAAACAGCACAAAAAUAUAUUUUGGAUACUAUUUAGCCAAGUUAAUGACAAAGACAGAGAGUAUUUGAAAAAAUUGGUAUCCUUCUAUAAUGUUUCAAAUAUAU